UGCCUUUCGGGAGCCGUAAGACAGGUGCUGCAUGGCUGUCGUCAGCUCGUGUCGUGAGAUGUUGGGUUAAGUCCCGCAACGAGCGCAACCCCCUAUCCUCAGUUGCCAUCAUUAAGUUGGGCACUCUGUGGAGACUGCCGGUGUCAAACCGGAGGAAGGUGGGAUGACGUCAAGUCCUCAUGGCCCUUAUGUCCAGGGCUACACACGUGCUACAAUGGGCAGUACAAAGGGUAGCAAGCCUGCGAAGGUGAGCCAAUCUCAAAAGCUGUUCGUAGUUCGGAUUGGAGUCUGCAACUCGACUCCAUGAAGCUGGAAUCGCUAGUAAUCGCGGAUCAGCAUGCCCGCGGUCGAAUACGUUCCCGGGCCUU
rnacentral:rRNA from 1 species